GGCACCUGCGAGCGGAGCCCUAGGCGGGGCAUGGCGGCGCGGACGGUCCUGUGAGAGCGAAGCUGCCGCGGGGCCCGCCAUGCGCCGGCGGCCCUGACAUGGGCGCCAGCGGCUCCAAAGCUCGGGGCCUGUGGCCCUUCGCCUCGGCGGCGGGGGGCGGCGGCCCGGAGGCGGCUGUCGCUGAGCAAGCUUUGGUGCGACCGCGAGGCCGAGUCGUGCCCCCCUUCGUAUUCACGCGCCGCGGGUAAGGGCGUGGGGUUCCGCCCCCGGGAGGACAGACGGGCGGCUGGGUGCCCCGCGUCAUGGGGCGCUCCCGCCGCUGUACCCCCUACACCCGAGUCAGGACGGUUCCCAUAUUUCAGGCUCCCAGAGGAACAAGGGGUGGGGAAAGCCGAGCAGUCGGUUCCUGGCGGCCUGGCUGCUCUGAAGGUCUCCCGAGGAGAAGAGUGGGCCUGAGGCUUGUCCCUGGGCAGGCCCUCCUCACGGUGAAGCUAAGAUAGGGCCUCCCUGAGACUUCAGAACCUCUUCCUUUCAUCCCAUCCAUCCUAGCCUGCAAGCUGAAGGCUCCUAUCCUCCCUCACCUCCAGUUCUCUCUCGGGGAGAAUGACCCUCUGUUUUGUCUGUUUCCGUUCCCCACAGUGGUGGGGUUGGACCUCUCUGGGUAGUGGCCGGGAAAGCAGGACUGGUCCCCAGCGUUGGGGAUGGGGCCUGGGGAAAAAGACCCUCACCCAGGUAUGUUUCCCAGAUCUGGAGCACUGACCUCCCCCCUCCCCUAAGCGGCCCAGACAGGAGUACUAGAUUGGCCUGGCUGUGAUGGACCCUGGGGAGUGACACUCAGGUGAUGCUGGAGAUUUGGCUGUAGAUACUAGGGGGACCCCAACAGUGGCAGUUUGGCUGCAUCAGCCACCUGGAUGGGGGAGGAUGCAGGCUUUUUCUCUUUAGGCUCCCUCCUAGCUCAGGCAUCUGCUAUCUCAGGCUUUGGCCCUGGGCCAGCAGUGUCUUCUGGAGUGAGACCAACAUGCCCAGGCCACCAUCCUGCCCACUCUAGAAGCCCUGGGUGAAGGCAAGGGCCUGAUGGAACGGCUACUCUUGCUGAACAAACCAGUGAUUUUUUGCUCCAUGUUCUAUGACGAGGAUGGGGAUCUGGCUCACGAGUUCUAUGAGGAGACAAUCGUCACCAAGAACGGGCAGAAGCGGGCCAAGCUGAGGCGGGUACAUAAGAACCUGAUUCCUCAGGGCAUCGUGAAGCUGGAUCCCCCCCGCAUCCACGUGGAUUUCCCUGUGAUCCUCUAUGAGGUGUGAGCCUGGGGGGUGGCAGGCAUAAACACCCCCUGCCCCAGCAAGAAACCCCCAGGCUCAAGGUGUGGCUUCCACUGAGGAACCUAGGCUGGGGCCACAACCGUGAAUAAACUCCACUGGCCCGGAACCUUCAACUGUGAGCAGGGCAGUCCUACAAUGCUGGUUGGGUGUUGGUUUGUAUGUGGACAAGAGGUGGCUGGUGGCUGGCAAGGGCUGAUGGCGGAGUUACCAGUCCACCUUUCCCAGCAAUCCCUACAAGGAGCAUGGCAGGGCAUAUGCUGUUCAGGAAUGCCUGGUUCCUGUGCCCUUGCCUGGCCUGCAUUCUUCCAAGCUUGCCUAGGGCCCAGCCCUGCUGGAGGCUACAGCACUUUACAAGUAAGGUCUGCCUUUUUCCAGCCCCAGGGCUGUGGGAGCUGUACACAAGUGGAACUUCCUUUCCCUCACUUCCUUUACCCUCUCGUUGGAGCAUUUCAGCCGUUUGCUACCUCGAUUCCUCCUGUGUUGGACAGAAGCUGGGGGCAGAACAAGCCUGAUUCUUCCUGCCUACCUGCCCAUCUGUUCCCACCCCCAGAUGGAUGGACAGUUUGCUGGCUGUUAAUAGGUGUGGGAGGUUUCUCCCUCUACCCCGGGCUGGGCUGAUCCCUCCCCACUGCAACUAGUUGCUGACCCCUACCCCAACUGAGAGGGCAUAGGAUGGGGAUCAGGAAGGGCUCUGGAUGCCUGUGCUUAUGGGGUGUUGUCACAUCCCACCUACUGUGUCUAAUCCCCCUUGCCCUUACACAUCCACCACCCUGUGAUAAGGGACAGCACCCUAGGGCUGGUGCCAGUAGCUCUGAGGAGCCCACCACCCAUUCCCCUACAGUAUACCCAUCCCUUCAGGAUCAGUAAGAGAAAAGUACUGGAGCCCUGGGUAGGGACAGAAAGGAGAGAACAAUCAUAAAGGAAUACUUAAAAUGUGAAAGCUUGUAAAUAGUCUAGUCCACGAUGUUGGGGCAGAGUCUGAUUUCUACAUAAAAAUGACUUUUUUUUUUUUUAAUUCCUUACUGUGCAAACUCUGUUCUUUAAGCGUGUGAGAAAUGGCUUGGGGAGGGUAGCCCUCAAUCUAGGAAGGCUGUUGUGUUAUUUGUUCAAUAAAAUUAUUUGUAGACCCUG
ensembl:lncRNA